GAGACAGCAGUCGCCGCGGUAAUACGGAGGGGGCUAGCGUUGUUCGGAAUUACUGGGCGUAAAGCGCACGCAGGCGGUCUGUCAAGUCAGAUGUGAAAUCCCCGGGCUUAACCUGGGAACUGCAUUUGAAACUGGCAGACUGGAGUCUUGUAGAGGGGGGUAGAAUUCCAGGUGUAGCGGUGAAAUGCGUAGAGAUCUGGAGGAAUACCGGUGGCGAAGGCGGCCCCCUGGACAAAGACUGACGCUCAGGUGCGAAAGCGUGGGGAGCAAACAGGAUUAGAUACCCCAGUAGUCCCUGUCUCUUAUAA
rnacentral:rRNA from 1 species